rnacentral:rRNA from 1 species
CCCUUAGAUGUUCUGGGCCGCACGCGUGCUACACUGAGUAAUUCAAUGGGUAAGGGAACGCUAGAGCAUUACCUAAUCUUGAAAUUUGCUCGUGAUGGGGAUCGACGGUUGCAAUUUUCCGUCGUGAACGAGGAAUACCUUGUAGGCGCAUGUCAUCAUCAUGCGCCGAAUACGUCCCUGCCCUUUGUACACACCGCCCGUCGCUACUACUGAUUGGGUGUUCAAGCGAGAUUCUUUGAUUUUAAGAUGAAUAAUUCGAACUUGUUUAGAUUUAAAGAAGAGUAUCAAGCUUCUGCAUUUAGAGGAAGUAAAAGUCGUAACA